GAUGAACGCUAGCUACAGGCUUAACACAUGCAAGUCGAGGGGAAACGACAUCGAAAGCUUGCUUUUGAUGGGCGUCGACCGGCGCACGGGUGAGUAACGCGUAUCCAACCUGCCCACCACUUGGGGAUAACCUUGCGAAAGUAAGACUAAUACCCAAUGAUAUCUCUAGAAGAUAUCUGAAAGAGAUUAAAGAUUUAUCGGUGAUGGAUGGGGAUGCGUCUGAUUAGCUUGUUGGCGGGGUAACGGCCCACCAAGGCAACGAUCAGUAGGGGUUCUGAGAGGCAGGCACACCAGAUUGGAACUGAGACACGGACUAAACUGCGACGGAGCGCAGCAGUGAGGAAUACUAGUCGAUGGAGGCGGGUCUAAACCAGCCAAGUAGGGUGCAGGAACACUGCGGUAGGGAUUGUAAACUGCUUGUAUAAGGAAGGAAUGUGCGUCUCGCGCGACUUUUUGAAUGUACCUUAUGAAUAAGGACCGGCUAACUCCGUG
rnacentral:rRNA from 1 species